UAACCAGUCGUCUGUAAAGGAUCAAUAUAGUUUGGGGUGCAGAUACAGGCCUUCCCCUAGGGAAACACUUGCAUCAGUAUUAGUGAGAGACCAAGUACACAUCUGAAGCAUUCCUGUGCUUUCUGUCCACUUGUCAGUGAAGUUGCCACGUAUGACUGUCCAUCAGCCAGGAGAUGAACCCCCACCCGUGAGGCAGUGACUCAAGGUGCAAGGGAGUCCGGCAAGAAGUGUGGCGCACCCGAGUUGCUGCCACUGCUUUUUGGAUCACCCAGCACGUGGCUGAAUUGCAACUCCUGUCACGUGCUUGAGUCUUGGAGGUCGCCAUGGACUAUGCUGUGGUCCUAGGCCUGCAUUCCUCCUGCAGGUUGGCCAGAGGCCCAGAGAAGAAUGUUUGUGCAGGUCUUCUGAAGUCUUCCUGAAAGCAUCCCUGGUGAUCUGUGAGCCCUUGGUCGUGUUGCCCGCCUUCUUCCUGUGGGUCUUGCUGGAUGCUCAUUGUCCCUGUGAGCCGAGCCCUGGAGGCUUCAGAUUUAGGU
rnacentral:lncRNA from 1 species